GAUCUCCUACGGGAGGCAGCAGUGGGGAAUAUUGGACAAUGGCGAAAGCCUGAUCCAGCCAUGCCGCGUGUGUGAAGAAGGUCUUCAGAUUGUAAAGCACUUUAAGUUGGGAGGAAGGGUUGUAGCUUAAUACGCUGCAACCUUGACGUUACCAACAGAAUAAGCACCGGCUAACUCUGUGCCAGCAGCCGCGGUAAUACAGAGGGUGCAAGCGUUAAUCGGAAUUACUGGCGUAAAGCGCGCGUAGGCGGCUUGAUAAGAUGGGUGUGAAAUCCCCGGGCUUAACCUGGGAACUGCAUCCAUAACUGUCUGGCUAGAGUACAGUAGAGGGUGGUGGAAUUUCCUGUGUAGCGGUGAAAUGCGUAGAUAUAGGAAGGAACACCAGUGGCGAAGGCGACA
rnacentral:rRNA from 1 species